AUUGAACGCUGGCGGCAGGCCUGACACAUGCAAGUCGAGCGGGGUUUUCGGACCUAGCGGCGGACGGGUGAGUAAUGCGUAGGAAGCUACCCGAUAGAGGGGGAUACCAGUUGGAAACGACUGUUAAUACCGCAUAAUGUCUACGGACCAAAGUGUGGGACCUUCGGGCCACAUGCUAUCGGAUGCGCCUACGUGGGAUUAGCUAGUUGGUGGGGUAAUGGCUCACCAAGGCGACGAUCCCUAGCUGGUUUGAGAGGAUGAUCAGCCACACUGGAACUGAGACACGGGCCAGACGCCUACGGGAGGCAGCAGUGGGGAAUAUUUGACAAUGGGCGCAAGCCUGAUCCAGCCAUGCCGCGUGUGUGAAGAAGGCCUUCGGGUUGUAAAGCACUUUCAGUAGGGAGGAAGGGUGUUGUGUUAAUAGCACAGCAUUUUGACGUUACCUACAGAAGAAGCACCGGCUAACUCUGUGCCAGCAGCCGCCGUAAAAC
rnacentral:rRNA from 1 species